rnacentral:rRNA from 1 species
UACGUAGGGGGCAAGCGUUGUCCGGAAUCAUUGGGCGUAAAGAGCGUGUAGGCGGCCCGGUAAGUCCGCUGUGAAAGUCCAGGGCUCAACCCUGGGAUGCCGGUGGAUACUGUCGGGCUCGAGUCCGGAAGAGGAGUGUGGAAUUCCCGGUGUAGCGGUGAAAUGCGCAGAUAUCGGGAAGAACACCCGUGGCGAAGGCGGUUCUCUGGGACGGUACUGACGCUGAGACGCGAAAAGCGUGGGGAGCGAACAGG